CGGGGCGUGGCGCAGCCUGGUAGCGCACCUGCCUUGGGCGCAGGGGGUCAUCAGUUCAAAUCUGAUCGCCCCGA
rnacentral:tRNA from 1 species